UAAAAACAUUUAGGAGCGUUUAAAAAACAAACCAAAAGCGUUUAACAAACAUAUAUGUGUGUUAAAUAUAUCUUUUAUCUGUCCCGAGGAAGGUUUUUACCAAUUCACUCCUGAGGGCUUGUAGCUCAGUUGGUUAGAGCGCGCGCUUGAUAAGCGUGAGGUCGGAGGUUCAAGUCCUCCCAGGCCCACCAAUUUAUGAUCGCUGAUAAAGUUUGCUGAUAAAGUUUUUACGAAUGUUUUGGUGGUCUUUUAUGUUGCAAUCUUUCACUUUUAUGUUGCACUUUUAAAAGCUAUUUGAACUGUUUAGGGGCCGUAGCUCAGCUGGGAGAGCACCUGCUUUGCAAGCAGGGGGUCGUCGGUUCGAUCCCGUCCGGCUCCACCAUCUUUGGUUAUCAUCAUCGUUGGAGAACAAUGUUUGCAAUAGAUCAUAGAUUUUAAGUCUAUCAUCUAUUGCCUGUUCUAUUGAAAUUGUGAAGAGAAGAUAUAUUCAGACAUUACUGUUUUAUUCAUACAGUGCUGUUUUUGUUGUUACUUUAAUGUGUAAAUCCUUCCUUUAAGG
rnacentral:tRNA from 1 species